CGACGUGGGUAACCUGCCCUGUACACACGGAUAACAUACCGAAAGGUAUGCUAAUACGAGAUGAUAUAUGAAAGUUGCAUGACUUUCAUAUCAAAGCUUUUGCGGUACAGGAUGGACCCGCGUCUGAUUAGCUAGUUGGUAAGGUAACGGCUUACCAAGGCGACGAUCAGUAGCCGACCUGAGAGGGUGAUCGGCCACACUGGAACUGAGACACGGUCCAG
rnacentral:rRNA from 1 species